UUUGAUUCUGGCUCGAUUGAACGCUGGCGGGAUGUGCUUUACACAUGCCGUCGAACGGCAGCACGGACUUCGGUCUGGUGGCGGUGGCGAACGGGUGAGUAAUGUAUCCGGAACGUGCCUAGUAGCGGGGGAUAACUACGCGAAAGCGUAGCUAAUACCGCAUACACGCCCUUCGAAGCGGGGGACAUUCGGGCCUCGCACUAUUAGAGCGGCCGAUAUCGGAUUAGCUAGUUGGUGGGAGUAACGGCUCACCAAGGCGACGAUCCGUAGCUGGUUUGAGAGGACGACCAGCCACACUGGGACUGAGACACGGCCCAGACUCCUGCAGGAGGCAGCAGUGGGGAAUUUUGGACAAUGGAAACACAGUCCAGCCAUCCCGCGUGUGCGAUGAAGGCCUUCGGGUUGUAAAGCACUUUUGGCAGGAAAGAAACGGCACGGGAUAAUACCCCGUGCAACUGACGAGCCUGCAGAAUAAGCACCGGCUAACUACGUGCCAGCAGCCGCGGUAAUACGUAGGGUGCAAAGCGUUAAUCGGAAUUACUGGGCGUAAAGCGUGCGCAGGCGGUUCGGAAAGAAGAUGUGGAAUCCCAGGCUUAACUUUGGAACUGCAUUUUUAACUACCGAGCUAGAGUGUGUCAGAGGGGAGGUGGAAUUCCGCGUGUAGCAGUGAAAUGCGUAGAUAUGCGGAGAGACACCGAUGGCGAAAACCUCCUGGGAUAACACUGACGCUCAUGCAGAAAGCGUGGGGAGCAAACAGGAUUAGAUACCCUGGUAGUCCACGCCUAAACGAUGUCAACUAGCUGUUGGGGCCUUCGGGCCUUGGUAGCGCAGCUAACGCGUGAAGUUGACCGCCUGGGGAGUACGGUCGCAAGAUUAAAACUCAAAGGAAUUGACGGGGACCCGCACAAGCGGUGGAUGAUGUGGAUUAAUUCGAUGCAACGCGAAAACCUUACCUACCCUUGACAUGUCUGGAAUCCCGAAGAGAUUUGGGAGUGCUCGCAAGAGAACCGGAACACAGGUGCUGCAUGGCUGUCGUCAGCUCGUGUCGUGAGAUGUUGGGUUAAGUCCCGCAACGAGCGCAACCUUGUCAUUGGAUUGCUACGAGGGCACUCUAAUGAGACUGCCGGUGACAAACCGGAGGAAGGUGGGGAUGACGUCAAGUCCUCAUGGCCCUUAUGGGUAGGGCUUCACACGUCAUACAAUGGUCGGGACAGGGUCGCCAACCCGCGAGGGGGAGCCAAUCCCAGAAACCCGAUCCCGUAGUCCGGAUCGCAGUCUGCAACUCGACUGCGUGAAGAGUCGGAAUCGCUAGUAAUCGUGGAUCAGCAUGUCGCGGUGAAUGCGUUCCCGGGUCUUGUACACACCGCCCGUCACACCAUGGGAGUGGGUUUUACCAGAAGUAGUUAGCCUAACCGUAAGGAGGCGAUUACCACGGUAGGAUUCAUGACUAGAGGUGAAGUCGUAACAAGGUAA
rnacentral:rRNA from 1 species